ensembl:rRNA 5S_rRNA 5S ribosomal RNA
CUCUAUGGCCAUGCUACUCUGAACAUGUCCGACCUCAUCUGAUCUUAGAAGCUAAGUAGGGUCGGGCCUGGUUAGUACUUGGAUGGGAGACCACCUAGGAAGACAAGGUACUGUAGGCG